CCGCAAAUGGUAGAUAAGUUUUUUAUGAUGAAGCGACUCCUAAGGAUGCAAAAUGCAGCUGAGUUAGAAUAGGGUUAGAUCCAAGUAAUUUAGAAGUCUAAGAUCUUAUUGUUUUUAUGUUGUUUCCUUUGUUCACAGGUUUAAUUUGGGUAACUGCACAAGGGGUAGAAUACCAUGUUGAGGAGGAUUUUUUAUUUUUUUUCACUAGAUGGAGAAGGUGUGUCAGCAACUGGAGAAACAGUUGCGCCAUUGAUCGACUAUUUAUUUCAAGCAAAUAGAUCCUGGUUAACUGUCAUCUUAUCUUGUUGUUAUAACCAAAUCCUGAUCACAUUCCCUCUGUGAAGACGUUGAUGUUAUCCAAUUCUUGAUUUGAUUUUCUGAGUUAACUUUCAAAUGAGAAAGGGCGGUAGCUGAAACAGGCGGUUGCGGGGUUAAGUACAUCCAAAUGAGGAUGCUUAUCUUCCUUCAUGAUCAUCCAAAUGAUCAUGCUUAUCCUUUUUAUGAACAGACUUAUAAAUUGGAGAUGUUUCGGAUGGUUGGGUGAUGAGAAAUUGAUCGAGGCAUUUGGUUAAGAAGGAGAUUGAUUACCAUAUCUCCUCUCAAAGAUGUUGGUCUCACGGUGCGAUUAGGAUUGUUUGUGGUAGGCUGAAUCUCUCCUUCCGUGAGAGAGACAACGCGAUGGAGCCCGCAUCGAUCCUUACCUUGUCUUCCGCUGCAAAGCUAAGGUAUGUGUUCUGAAUCUUGACAUCUGUAGAAAACCCAUGGUUGGUUCCAGAUCGAGGUUCAUAGAGGCUCCAAUGGCGCACGGGUCUUCGACAAUGGCCGGAUUCCGCCAUUCUUUCAGUACGACGCCUAUUGGCUUCGGCGUACAGGGCCAUUUACCAUAAAGAGAGGAAGAAAGAGGAGGGUGAAGGGUCAAGCGCUAUCUAUCACAGGAGGCCACCGGAAUCUGUCGCCGGUGGAUCGGUCCUCUCUUGCAGGCAGCAAGAAUGGCGGAGUAGCAGUGCAAACUCGGAGAUUGGUGGCCAAGAGCUACGUAUUGGCUUGGAAGAGUGGAUUUUGCAUUGGCUUCUGGAGGUGGAUGCUUAUUAGUCAUUGAAACCCAUAUUAUGCAGUCAAGCUGAAGAAUUGGUUUGCGUCUAAAGGUAACAGUAGAAUCCAUCCAAGGGAAGAAGAGAUGUUUGAACCUAAUUUGGCAGCAGUAGAUUUGUUGAGAUCAAGUUGACAAUUUCCAUAAUACCUGAAGCAAUCAGUCUGGGACAUGUAGCAAAGAUUGUUGGUGCAAUGAUGCCUUGCUUCAAUAUCAUAUUGGGCACUUUGAUCUGAUGAUGGCAAGGAGUCAUGGGAAGCUUCAGGGAUUUGAUAUACUCAUUCUGCUGUAAAUAAAGACUUUGGUCAUGGACCACUAUUGCAGAACUGUGCAGGGCUCCCAUUGUUUAAGAUUAUUUAGCCACUAUAGAUCUUGUAACAAGUUGACUCUUUCAUAUCUGCUAGAACAAUUUUAUUUAUCAAGUUGUAUGUAUCAUAGCAACAAAUAUCAUUCUUGGGUUUUUAUUGGGAAC